UUCUUCUUCUUCUUCUUCUUCUUCUUCUUCUGAACACUUGUUUUUAACAACAGGUGAGCAUGAUAUCUAUUUAUAUAAUCAGUAUAUAUGAUUAUAGAUUUGUUUGAUAGUGAUCAUUCUUUUGAAAACCCUGUUUCUAGCAUUCUUUCUAUCUCAAAACCAUAUUUAAAUCACAAUCCAUGCUCUCAACUUCACAAGCAGGAAUGUUGAUACAUGCGUUUAUGACCUCGAGGCUGUGGGAUACUGCAGGAAAACGUGUGUGCAAAUACUGUGAGUGGAAAAUGUGUGCGAAAAAAGUGUAAUGUUAUGAUUAAUUUUGUGUUGACCAGCUGAGAGGAUGCAGGUUCGAGUGCUGCUGAUCCUCAUACUCACAUCAGUAUCAAUCACUCAUGCUCAAGGUACGGCUGGAGCUUGAAUAGGCUAGAGAGAAAAUUAUAUUGUUAUACGAUAAAAUCAGGCACAAAUGAUCAAAUGCACGCAGUAAUUCAUGCAAAGUUGCAAACUUGUCUUAUUAUCCACACACAAACAUUCACUGAUGUCCUGUGUUUGAUUUACUUGAACAGAGACAUUUCCUCCAUUUUAGCUUUCAGCUGUUGAUCUCCUGAUAGCAGUCUGUUCACUUGAACACACACAGUCUGCACGGCUGAUAGUACGGCUGUGGAUAUAAGAUAUAUUUGUGACGUUUAUCAAAUUCAUAGAUAUCUGUGUAUGCAUAAUAAUAUUGUAUAAUAAUGUGUAUGUUAAUGAUAUUGAGACUCAUUUAAAUUAGGCCUAUGUAAUCACGUGUAGGUAUUUGUAAUCAGCGAGGGUUUCCAUCAUUGUAUUUUGGAAUAUCAAGUAAAAAAUGCUGCAUGGAGACCAAGAUGUCAAUAAAAUCUGACUCUCUUUAGCGGAUAAGUUCACGUGUGAAACUAAGCUGAUAUUGUGAUUCUGAUGGACGGAUCAGAGAGUAUUGGUCCUUAAAACUGUGAAAGACUUUCUGGAAAGCUUUUUCAGGUCCUUAAAGGUUGGAUCAAAGCAAACACGCAUUGGUAAGUCCGCUUCAAAAAAAUAUAAAUAUCCUACUAGAUCAGGUUUGAGGUCACUUUUUCUGUGCUUGUGCUGUAUUUCCUUUUGAUUCACUGUGUGUGUGUGUGUGUGUGUGUGUGUGUGUGUGUGUGUGUGUGUGUGUGUGUGUGUUUUAGGUUUGGUGCAGUACAGCAGGCAAAGACUGAGUGGUAUCUGAACACUCACAGCACUAAAGAGGCCAUACUUGAUGCUUUGAAGAAUAUACACCAUAUAGGAGAAAGUACAUUCACAGGUCUGGCUCUGACGAGCUGAGAGCCAUCGCCUCCCGGCCGGAGGACACACACGUGUUUAGAGUGGCAGAGUUCAGCUUGAUGUUAGACAUCUUGGAGAACCUCCCCAGGAGCGUCUGCGAGCGCGUCUCUGAACUCAGCAGAGAGAUCAGACUGUGUUUUCAGGUGAAGAAGACCCUGAGGUCACGGUCAGGAGAUUCUGUGUUUCUCGUCUCUGAGAAGCGUCGAGAGCCGAUAAAACUAGGUGACAAACAUGAAGAUGAUGAUGGACAGGAAGAUGAAGAUGGCAUCAGAAGUGCUUCUGUUCACCGUGUCUUUCAGACGGAGCUCUUCAGAUGCUUCUGAAGAAAACAAACAUGUAUUGUUU